rnacentral:lncRNA from 1 species
UUAAAAGUAAAGCAGUCUCAUUUUGUGUAAAAAAAUAUUUAAUUGUGGCCGCACGAUCUGUGAUGAACUGUCAUUGUGUCUUGAUCCCCGGGAUCCCCAGGGAGGGGAUCCGAGAGGAUCCAAAUCCAAAACUAUCCGCAUCCAAUGAGCUAGUUAACAUAGUAAACAUUUGAUUACUGGGUCUUAAGCACUAAAAAACUAUAAACUUAAUGAUUAAAAACUAAAAAAAUUGAAAAGCUAUAGUGAAAAAUUAAAUUGAAAACAAAUUGAUAUCUGGUUAUAUUCGUUUUAGCUUUUAAAUUUUUGUUUUUAAGUUUUGUUUUUUAUUAUUUUUUUUAAAAACCAAAAACUUGUUUGAUAAUUGUUAUCAAAUUUCAUUUUUUGAUUAAAAUCACAAGUUGAAAAUUGAACACCAGAUUAAAAAAAAUUAAAAAAUAAACUUGCUAAAAAAACUGAAUAAAUUAUGAUAAACCCAUAAACAGCAAGUAUACAAAAAAUAUUAAGUAAUGCUAUACUUAUUACAUUUUUCAUACAACCUCUUUAAUAAAUAUAUCGCCUACCAACACAUGUGGAUUUCAUCUAUUAUAUAAAAAAUACGGUACAAGUAACAUUUUUUUUUUAAAUUCACACAUAACACAUGUUUCUCUUGUACGUUGUCUGAAAAAGUUAAACGACAAUACUGAAUAUAAAAACCAUCACUAGCAAGGCGCAGUCUGACUUUAGAACUAUUUUGUUUUCUCCCUUGGCAUGCAAGAAAAGAAAACUGUCUAACUUGAACUUGAACAACAAGAUCAAUUUUGUCCUAAAAGGCAUGCUUGGACGACUAAAAUCAGGCUUAAUUUACACUAAGGGCCGGUUUGACAUUGCUGAAAUUUUUUUAAAAGUAGUUUUUAAAAAAAAGUUAGAACUAAAAUCGUGUUUAAUAAAUGAAAAAAAAUGUUUAUUUAUUUUUUUUUCAAACCAUGGUUCCAAAACAGUAGAAAACAGAAGCAG